rnacentral:rRNA from 1 species
GCUGGCGGCAGGCCUAACNCAUGCAAGUCGAGCGGAAACGAUCCUAGCUUGCUAGGAGGCGUCGAGCGGCGGACGGGUGAGUAAUGCAUAGGAAUCUGCCCGGUAGUGGGGGAUAACUUGAGGAAACUCAAGCUAAUACCGCAUACGCCCCAAGAGGGGAAAGCAGGGGAUCUUCGGACCUUGCGCUAUCGGAUGAGCCUAUGUCGGAUUAGCUAGUUGGUGAGGUAAUGGCUCACCAAGGCCGCGAUCCGUAGCUGGUCUGAGAGGAUGAUCAGCCACAUCGGGACUGAGACACGGCCCGAACUCCUACGGGAGGCAGCAGUGGGGAAUAUUGGACAAUGGGCGAAAGCCUGAUCCAGCCAUGCCGCGUGUGUGAAGAAGGCCUUCGGGUUGUAAAGCACUUUCAGCGAGGAAGAACGCUUGUGGGUUAAUACCCCGCAAGAAGGACAUCACUCGCAGAAGAAGCACCGGCUAACUCCGUGCCAGCAGCCGCGGUAAUACGGAGGGUGCAAGCGUUAAUCGGAAUUACUGGGCGUAAAGCGCGCGUAGGCGGCUUGAUAAGCCGGUUGUGAAAGCCCCGGGCUCAACCUGGGAACGGCAUCCGGAACUGUCAGGCUAGAGUGCAGGAGAGGAAGGUAGAAUUCCCGGUGUAGCGGUGAAAUGCGUAGAGAUCGGGAGGAAUACCAGUGGGCGAAGGCGGCCUUCUGGACUGACACUGACGCUGAGGUGCGAAAGCGUGGGUAGCAAACAGGAUUAGAUACCCUGGUAGUCCACGCCGUAAACNAUGUCNAC